rnacentral:rRNA from 1 species
UACGUAGGGCGCGAGCGUUAAUCGGAAUUACUGGGCGUAAAGCGCGCGUAGGCGGCUUUGCAAGUCGGGUGUGAAAUCCCCAGGCUUAACCUGGGAACUGCAUUCGAGACUGCAUUGCUAGAGUAUGGGAGAGGGAAGUGGAAUUUCCGGUGUAGCGGUGAAAUGCGCAGAUAUCGGGAGGAACACCUAUGGCGAAGGCAGCUCGCUGGGACGUUACUGACGCUGAGACGCGAAAGCGUGGGGAGCAAACAGG